rnacentral:rRNA from 1 species
GGGGACCGCCGCUGCUAAAGCGGAGGAAGGAAUGGGCAACGGUAGGUCAGCAUGCCCCGAAUUAUCUGGGCUACACGCGGGCUACAAUGGGUGGGACAAUGGGUAUCGACACCGAAAGGUGAAGGCAAUCUCCUAAACCCAUCCGUAGUUCGGAUUGUGGGCUGCAACUCGCCCACAUGAAGCUGGAAUCUGUAGUAAUCGUGUCUCAAAAUGGCACGGUGAAUAUGUCCCUGCUCCUU